rnacentral:lncRNA from 1 species
CGCCGCCUCCGCCCCGCCCCUUCCCGCCGGAGCGGGCGGGAGCGGGGCCUCUCCGCGGGCUGCGGCCUUCUCCCGACACUUCUAUUAACCUGUUUUGGUGCUUGUAGAAAGUAAGGAACUGUCUAACAUUCUGGAAAUCAGCAAAGUUGCUCAAGGAUUUAAGCUGAUGUAAGAGCCCUCCUAUCCUAAUAUGAAAAUCUUUGAACUCUUCCCGGGACAAUACCUGUGAAUAACUGAAUCUUCCAUAGUAACUUCUCCUAGAACAAUCUGCAUCAGGUAAGUGAGAAUCUUAACAGUUCAGCUUCUCCUGCCAGGCCAGUUAAGUG